GAAGCGACAUCUUUGGGGCUACUCAAAGCUUUUCUGUUCUCGAUGGAUUAAAACCUUAGGAAAAGCCCUCUCUCCUCCUAGAGAAGGUCCUUGGAGUCAUGAGGAAGCUGGGCAUGCAUAAGAAGUUUGGAGGUGACAUAUCCAGGACAGCUGACCCCAACUGAUACAAGGAUUAUUCCAUACUUUGUGAUGUCACAUUUAUAUAAAGAAGGGAGGAGAAAGAGGAAGUGAGGGGAUCUUUGAAAUGAUAGCAUUUGUCUUUGGAAGUAACUGUUACACAUGCUGGAGCCCUGCUGACCUGGAGGUUGCUGACCACCUACCUGCCCAUGGAAGGCACAGCUAUAUCUAAAUGUUAGGCAGAUUCCUAUUCUGGAUGACACAAAACAAUGCAAACCCAGAAGGAACCCUGAAAAAGUCAAGAGAGUGAAUCUUAGACUGAGAAAUCCUGGCACUUCUCACAAGCACUAUCAAGCACAUAAGGAUUCCCUUAUGUCUUCGGAACCUGAAUGAGAAUACACGACGAGGGACAAUGAGUGCAAUGGAAUACAUGAGAAUAUUUUCUUUUUCUGGAAAUGGAGUGAAUCUGACAAAACCAAACCACAACUACCACCACCACUCCGCUAAAAUGAAUCACUGGGUAAGUACUGUAUGAUUCUUUAGCUUACUGAAAUGCACAAAUACUUUUUUCCACUUUUGAUUAUACACUUGUCUCAUUUUUUUCUUCUGUAAGUAAAAUGUUAAGUAGUUCCCCUUUUAAUAAUUUCGAAGUACUUUUAAUGACAGAGAUUAACUCUCACACUGCUUCUGAAUACUAUUGUUUCUUAUCCUAUUCCAUAUGUUUCUAAACUACCAAACUAUAAUGCAAAUUUAGUUCUGAAUACUUAGCCCAAAAAACAUCCCUUGCAAAGCCAUUUUCAGAGCAAAAAUGUUAAGUGUUGAACUAAACAUGGAUUAUAACAUUUAGAUUGGAUAUUGGGAAGAAUUUCUUCCCUGGGAGGGUGGUGAGGCCCUGGUAAAGGGUGCCCAGAGAGCACCCUGUGGCUGCCCCUGGAUCCCUGGGAGUGUCCAGUGCUGGGCUGGACAGGGCUUGGAGACCCCUGUGACAGUGGAACGUGUCCAGGCAGGGAGUUGGACUAGACAAUCUUGAAGGUCUCAUUCAACCCAAACCAUUCUGUGAACCUGGUAUCUAUCAGUGUCCAAAACUAGGAUGGUCACAAGUUGUUUUUAUCAAAUCCUCUUCUAAACAAUCUUGGAAUUAUAUCAAAAUCUUUACAGCUGGACAACAGGACAGUUUCAAUUUUAGCUUUGAAAAAUCUUUGUUUAUUAUACAGUAAAGUUAAUUUAUGACAUAAAGGAAAACCAGUUUAGAUAGCAAGGAACAUGAACUGCAGUCUCUUUGGGGAAGCAGAGUUAUUAAAAUACACAAGACUUAAUAAAACCAUACCAUUUCACCACUAUUGCCUGUACCAUAAGUAGUUCCACAUACUGUAAAAGUGUAAUCUAAAUUAAACAUACAGUCUCCAAUUAUCUUUAAUACAGGUCACAAAAGUUGCACGCUAAAUGAGGAAAACAGACAGGAGAGAUGUAGAAAUAAGAGGUGUCUUCUAAUUAUUGGAUGAUACAAAGUUUUCAGCUGCAGAAAACAAGAUACCUAGGUGAGAAAAGAGACUCCCAAAAAUCCAGACUCUUAGAGGACACAUUUAAUUGAUGACCUUGUCCUCCAUGCCAAAUUAUUAACAAAGCUAGGUGCCCUUUAAAAGAACUAAAUUAGAGCAAGAAAGUCUUUUAAAACUCUUUUACAGUUGUUCAGCUGUAGAAUCCUUAGCUUUUCAUUGAUGUAUCUUCAGACCUUACACCACAAUGUAAUGCAGGCAGCCUGGAAAAAUAGAAUACUCUAUUCUUCUGUAUUGUUCAAGGAGAAAGACAGACAAGACAGAUGGACAUAAGGCACCUGCAUGGAAAUUCCUUAAACAUUUUGGAACUGAACAGCCAUGUCGUUUUCUGGGUUUGCAAAGGAUGCCUAAUUUGAACCCCAUGUGGCACAAUUUGAAGCCAUUUCUUUUUGUUCCCCACCUGAUUACACCCUCCUGUCAGGGAGUUGAAGAGAUUGAAAAGGUCCCCCCUGAGCCUUCUUUUCUCCAGGCCUAAAAAACCCAACUCCCUCAGCUAGCUCUCAAUGACUGACUCUCCAGACUCUCUUCCAGCUCCUUUGUUCUUUUCUGGACACACUUCAGCCCCUCAAUGUCUUUCUUGCACUGCAGGGCCCAGAACUGACCCCAAGAUUUGAGGUGUGGCAUCGCUAGUGGCCAGUACUGAGCAACAGUCACUACUGCCCUGGUCCUGCGGGCCAUGCUGUUCUUGAUCCAAGGCGGGAUGCCAUUGGCCUUCUUGUGUGAUCUGGGCACACCCAGCUCACAUUCAGCGACUGUCGACCAGCACCUGCAAGUACUUUCCUGUUGAGUGGUUUUCCAGCCACCCUGCCCAAAGCCUGGAGUGCUGUGUGGGGUUGUGGUGACUCAACAGCAGGACCCAUGGCCUUGUUGAACUUCACAUUGUUGGCCUUGGCCUCAAUCCCCUCAUGCAGGUCAUCCAUAAAGAUGUUAAAGAGAACUGGGCCCAAAACAGCUCUAAGGAACCCCACUAGUGACUGAAGAGUGGAUGUGGCACCACUCCCCACCACUCUCUGGCCCCAGUCACCCAGCCAGUUCUUAACCCCACAAAGACGCACCUGUCCAAGUCAUGGGCCGCAGCCUCCCUGGGACCGUGCUGGGAGACAGUAACAAAGGCUUUGCUGAAAUACAGGUAGGCACAAUCACAGCCUUUACUUCAUCCACGAGGUGGGUCACCUCAUCAUAAAACGAGAUCAGGUUGGUCAGGCAGGACCUGCCUUUCCUAAACCUACACUAGCUGGGCCUGAUUCCCCGGUCUUGUGAGUGCCAUGUGAUCUCACUUGGAAAAAUAAUUUAAAAUUAGCAAAAUUGAAAGGAAAAUCUAUCAGAUUUCCUGUAGAGCAUCUUUAGCUCUAAAAAUUCACUCCACAACAAAAGAUUUUUAUGAGGCUGCAGUGAAAGCUGACAAAUGGAUGAAAACAAAAAAUAUUUUUAAGAUUUUCAAAAGUUAAAUUUGUUAAAGUUAUGGUACAUGAAGUUUUGAGAAAGUGACCAAGUACUUGACAAGUUUUACAACAAUGAACUUAUUAACAACAAUAAAGAACAAAAUCCAGUGGACUUCCACAAGAAAAUUUUCUGCAGCAAAUGAAUAACUUAGUUGUCUAAGUAGCAUUAGUAUUUUCUUCUAAUUUCAAGGAUUCCAUAGCACAGAAAUAUGCUCACUAUUGAAAUUAAGCACUUUACUUGACAGAAAAUACAAUCAUCUAUUGUACAUCUCUCUAAAAAUAGCAUCCAUAUGCAAUUACCUACGGGAGUGUACUUACAGCAGGAGUACUCUGUAAAUGUUAGGUCAACUAACUGUGAUCUAGUGUAGAAGAAAGUAUUAUUUGUAUCUAGAAUAUAAUUGCUUGGACUCUCAAACCAGUAAGUACCACUAGCAAUAAUUUCAUAUGCUGAAGUUUAUAGAAAUUAAUAAUGAUUUGCCUUAAGUGACACAGAAAAUCUGCACAAAGAUCAAGAAGUCCAAAAACACACUUAAAUACAUAUGCAUCUACCUUUUUCAUCAUUAAACUAAAAACAAGUAUUUGGCAAUUAGGUGCAUUUUGAAGGCUGGCAAAAUAAAAUUUGGUUUCUUGCAUUUAAAUUAUUAAUAGUUUUUCUCUUUUUAAACAUAAAUAUCUAUAAUUGUAUAUUUACCUUAUUUUUUCUACUUUUUUCAGUUUCUAAAUUUUAGUUGAAAUCAUAUGAAAAUUCUUGUAGAUGGGUGUAUUUAUAUAAAAUAUAUAGGCAUAUAUAAAAUCAGUGGUUUGAAGUCAAGUUUCUCCAAGCAUUUCAUUAUUUUAUGUCAUUAGAAAUAAAUAAGGCUUCUUCAUAGGCAUAUAGUCAUGUUUAUACAGUAAUUUACUGAUUUGCCCAUCAUGUACAUAUGCAUCUAUGUGUGUUUGUAUGAGCAUAUGUACAUAUAUAAUAAAUAUUUGUCCUGACUAACCAAAUUUUCAAUACGUUCUGUAGCUUAUUUCCCCCUUCCUGAUUAUAAAAGCAGUAUUUGAGAAAUAAAUUGAAGGAAUAAUCCAUUGGCCACAUAGAGAGAAAUUUUUAAAGCCUCUAAUCUUUUCUAACUUAAGCAAAAAAACAUUUUAUAUACUCACUCCAGUAAAAGCCAAAGUAAUCAUAUUGCUUGAAUACUUUAUGUGUAAACCAAUUUCAGACUUAAUAAUUUCUAUUCUCUUUCCUAUAUUAACUAAAGCAUAAUUUAGCAAUCACAGACCAAAUAUUUUUAACUACACCCAUAAAACAACUGAAGAAUUUCAAUGAAAAAUAUGGUACCAAGUUUUACACCUGCAACUCAAAUAAAAUCAGAAAGACUUAUUUUUCCAUAGAUAUUUUUCCUAAUGAGUAGCUUUAGCUAUUAAAUUAAUAAUAAGCUUUUACCAAAAAUAUAUAUACAAAUAUAUUUCUUUCACAGGUAUAAGACACAUCUAAAAAAAGUUUCAGUGAUUCUCCUUGGAAUUAGCUCUCCUGACCACUCCCAAGUGGCCGUUUGUAGGAUGGCAGAUAAAAGUCGAAUUUGCCACUAGAAGAACUCUAGUUUAACUGCCCUAAUAGGAUGCCAGUGCAAGAUCUUGUAUAGCACAUAAAAAGGCAACAAUCAUGGAAGAAACUGCAAUUGGCACAUCUGUAUGCUAAAGAAAACCUCAGACCAGCUCUUAUGGAACACCCCACACUUCUAUUACAUCAGCAGCUAUGCCACAUCUGGCAACAGUCUUCAGUUCAAAUACUGCCCAACUGCCUAAACCAAUCUCCUUACUCCCAUUUGCACUUUCUGGGAGAUACCUCUCAGGCUCAUGGUAUGUCUAGGUCUUUUAAUGUUAACAGGAACUUGAGAAAAGCUGUAUUUGAACAAAAAAUUGUUUAGAGAGGACUUUGCAUCAAAACUCCAUUUUGAAAAAUCAUCAGAAAUGAGCAAGUGGCCAAUGACAGCAAUAAAAUUUUAAAUAUAAAGGGUCUUAUAUCACACUUCAUAAAUUCUUAAAACAAAAUAAAAACUUGUUCUAUCAGAACAACAGUGCUUCCACUCUCCUUUUCCAGCCCAUUGCCUUCAUCUGGACAAAAAUCUGAACUGCAGAACUAUUUAUGAUGUAACAUGUCAGAGAUAUCUGAAGAGGGUCAAGAAAAUAUUUUAUGUGACAGAGAUAUUCGGUCUUUUUUGAGCUUCAUAGGAAAACAUGCUUUCCAAAAGGCUCCAAACUUUGAUAGUUUCCUAUCAGGACACUGAGGGAACUGAAAGCAACUGAAAAUUAUCCAUCAAUGCAGCUGUCAUAAACAAGAUCCAGGAAGCACAGGGCUCAACAGUCAUCUCAUGUGACUCUCUCCCUGAAGCCUCUGACAGGAAAUAGGAUGCACCGGGAAUAGUUUGUGGCUGCCAGAGAGCUGGCCAAAGACAGUUUUAGCAACUACUAAAAAUUAUUCCUGGUUACACCAGAGCUGCUGUUGGAAAGAUGAAAUAGCCCUUAUUUCCACCACCACACUUUCCCUCCCCUUCCUCCCCCCCCACCCUGCCCCCAGUCGCUCUGUUUAAAAUUUUUUAAAUUUUGCAUUAAAAUCAUAGAUACUACACAGGGAAUGCACCUCCCCUUUAAAAACAAACACAUUUUUCUUAGACAGUAGUCAAGUCAGAUCUCAAUUGGUGCUGGGACUGCACCUAGGCCACUUGCAUAUUGUACAGUGACAGUACUAAAUAAAUACUUCAGAAAAGCAGCAUUUCUUAUUUUUGCUUUAAGGCUGAAGUAUUUUUCCUGCUUUUCAAAAGCUCCUCAGGAUGAGGAGAAACUGCUGAAAUUCUCUCCAAAUCCCCUAGCUGCUCUCUGUUCUUCAGUUUCAUGAACUGUAAGUAAUGGCAACUUCAAACACUAAAAAUGGAACUCUCAUCCAGUCUGUUCAGAAAUGCACAACUGGAAAAAAAAAAUUAAACAAGCGACACUGUAUAAAGCACAAGGAAGCAAAAGCAGUGAAAUCAUUUGAAAUCAUUACAAGAACAAUUUUUAAAAGUCCUACUAAUAGAAUAAGUACAAAAAUACAUGCAACACUGGAGCACACUAAGCAACUUCUGUGAAACACUCCAUUUUAUGAAAAAACUGAUUAAAUAUUGCUCAAGAAAGAGGAACAAUGUAGCCUACUUGCAUGACAGUCUAGUUUGGUGCUUGGCAUCACAGUUCUCAAUAAACCCAUGCACUACAUAUGUGGCAGUUAUGUUUAAAAAGUGAUGGUGAUAUAGGCAAAGCUACUAAUAUUUGCAUUAGGUUGUUCCGGUUGCAACUUGUCUCUCACAGUUCAUGGCCUGAAAUUCCGUGAAUCAUUAAUAACCCUGCUCUUUUCAUUGAUAAAAAAUAUGAUAUUCCAAAAGUCUCUUUUUUUAAAGCCAGUGCCAAGUUUGAUUCUACAUUUUCUCUAAGAUAUGGUGAGUACAAAUAUAGAAUUUUAGCAUAUUUAAAGAAAACUAGUUAUGUAUUUCCCUGUAUUAAAAACUAUCUGACAGAAGACACAAAUAGCAGGCAGCCAGCCAUUCAUAAAGAAAUUAUUCAAUAUUAACAUGGUCAUAGUAUAAAUGGAUUCCUUAUGAGAUAAUGCUGCUUACAACUGGUUUUCCAUGAACGAAGUUUUCAUGGUGUUACACAGUGGACAGGCAUAUCAUUUAAGCAGCAGCCGAAUACUAUAAAGAGAUGAAGCCCUC